rnacentral:rRNA from 1 species
GACGUAACGCUGGCGGCGCGCCUAACACGAUGCAAGUCGAACGGAGCGUUGCUUGUCGAGAUUCUUUCGGGAUGACGACUUGUAAGCUUAGUGGCGAACGGGUGAGUAACACGUGAGUAACCUGCCCCAGAGUGGGGGACAACAGUUGGAAACGACUGCUAAUACCGCAUAAUGUCAUUUGGGGGCAUCCCUGGAUGACCAAAGAUUUAUUGCUGAAAGAUGGUCUCGCGUCUGAUUGGCUAGUUGGCGGGGUAACGGCCCACCAAGGCGACGAUCAGUAGCCGGUCUGAGAGGAUGAACGGCCACAUUGGGACUGAGAUACGGCCCAG